AUUGAACGCUGGCGGCAGGCCUAACACAUGCAAGUCGAACGAGCGGCGGACUGGUGAGUAAUGUCUGGGGAUCUGCCCUAUGGAGGGGGAUAACUACUGGAAACGGUAGCUAAUACAGCAUACACUCGGAUGUGCCCCGAUGGGAUUCGCUAGUAGGUGGGGUAACGGCUCACCUAGGCGACGCUCCCUAGCUGGUCUGAGAGGAUGACCAGCCAGACAGGAACUGUGAAACGGCCCAGAUGCGUACGGGAGGCAGCAGUGGGGAAUAUUGCACAAUGGGCGCAAGACUGAUACAGCCAUGCCGCAUGUAUGAAGAAGGACUGAGGGUUGUAAAGGACUUGCAGCGGGGAGGCGUUACCCGCAGAAGAAGCACCGGCUAACUCCGUGCCAGCAGCCGCGGUAAUUC
rnacentral:rRNA from 1 species